AGUUUUCUAUUAAACAUUUGAGCUUUGAUCAGGAACCUUGACUUAGCUCCAUUUUUCUCUCAACCAUCUAGUUCUUUCUCUUUCAGCUCCAGUCUGCCUCCCAGGUCUACCCUGUUUCUUGUGAGCCGCAGGAUGGCUCCCAACAGUCUGGCACCUGGUCCAGGGGCCUGAGGAAUGGCAGAAAAAUGCUGGAGGAACACUGCUUGGUGUGGAGCUCCAUGGGAAGGAAAGAAUCAGAGAAAAAAAUCGGGGCAUGUUUCAGGAGACUCCGGGAUAUCCCAAGAAGAACACAACAGCAAUAUAGUACAUGGAGCAAGGAGAUAAAGUCUUCAUGAGCAGCUCGGAAUUCUAUAAGGGAUCUUUGAAGAGCUACACUGAAGGGCAGAGUACACAAAGUGUAACUGGGCCUCACCAAACUCAGAUGAAUUUUCAGGUACCUGAGAGAUGGAAAGUGAUACAUGACUGACUCUUACUCUUACCUCAUUGUCCUUCUCAAAUUGAAUUUACUUUAUAUAAAUGUAUUUCCUUCUUUUUAAAAUUUUUCUAAUAAAAUAUAGUACAAGUACCUUGUAAUCAGCUGACUUUUAAUAAAAUAAUAUAGUAAUAAUAAAACAAUGAUAUCUGAAAU